UAGUAUCAAAUCAAAGAGAAAAUUUUUCGCUCAACUCUUACAAGAAUAUUUGAACUUUAAUGAAAAUGACGGGAUAACAUAAAUUUAUAAAAGAGUCAUGCCAAAGCUGAGACUAAGUCACAGCCGUUUCACUUUAGAAUAACUGUUUGGCUAAUAUUACUAAACUAUGGCUCGCUGUUGUGAAGAACUUCGAGUUUCAAAUUUUUAUGUUUCACUAUUGGUAGAAGGUUUGGGGGUAGCGUUUUUGGUGUUCAUUGGUGGAACAGUAUUACUAAGAGUUGAUGUGUCUAAAAGUAACUAUAUCGCAGAAGCUUCGAUGGUGCUUGGUUUUACAUUAGCCGUGUUGUCACAGUGUUUGAAAGAUGUUUCAGGAUCUCACAUGAAUCCUGCUAUUACUAUAGCCUGUAUGUUGACAAGAAGAGUUUCGUUGUUGAGAACGUUCAUGUAUAUUGUGUUUCAGUGUGGUGGAGGUAUCCUUGGUGCACUUGCUCUAAAAGAAAUGACUCCAGCCUCAAAACGAGGAAAUCUAGCGAUGACUGUAUUAGCAGAAGACAUAUCCAUAGUAAAGGGGAUUGGAUACGAAAUGAUAUUUUCAUUUAUUUACGCUUGGGUUUAUUUUGCUUCAAAAACAGCAAGAGAUACUUUUAAAGGUUUUGGUGGACCUUUGGCAAUCGGUUUAACCUAUUCUGUUAGCCAUAUUGUUAUACUUCCAUAUACUGGAUGUAGUUUAAAUCCUGCAAGAUCCUUAGGACCUGCUGUCAUGAAAGAGGAAUUUGAAGAUCAGUGGAUUUAUGCUGCUGGUCCAAUUUUAUCAGCCAGCUUAGCAGGUCUUCUUCAUGAUUUUAUAUUUGCCAAGGCAAGAAGAAGACCUCGUCCAAGGUCUUGUAGUCUCACUUGUUGCAAGCCUAGCCGUGAAGAAGCUGCACAAGCCAAGUAUUUUGAUGAAGACUACACACACCGGCAUACGAUAAUUGAAAGACCGACAGACAGUGGCGUCUAAACAUGUUGUUGUUGUUAUAGCAACCUAUUUCACGACAUCAAUGAAAAAGUUUCGUUAUUAUUAAAACAAAUCAGCAAGCGAGAAAUCAUACUGACAUUAUUGUAUUAAUAGAUUGUUUCUUAAGGAGAGGCGAACUGCGCACGACACGACACCUGAAAAAAAGUUCAUGACGACAGUGUUGAUUGUGAAGACCAGGCUGUCUGGGUAAUCUGCUUCAUAAUAAAUCAAUUUACAGGUUACAGCCAACAUGACAAAAAAGUCCUAAUACAAAGACUAAGAAUGAUUUGAUAUUAAAAAAAAUUCGUAGAGUUUUACCUAAAACUUUGCAGGACGACAUCACACUAGACCUAAAAUAUAGAGCAGUUACUUAUUUUUUUCAUCCCAUACAGAUGAAAAUUCAGUAAAAAUUUUGUUAGGAAGAAAUAUAGAUACUUGUUGCAAAA